CCUGUCAGGCGCGGCGCUCACGUCAGGGGUUUAAUCGCGCGAGCUCGUCCGAGCCCUCGCUAUCGUUAUCGUACGGCCUACGGACAGAAGGAGAAGGGAGCUGCGGGGCGAAGCGUUUGCACGUGCGAUCGCGCGACCGGCGCCGCCGCCCUCGGACACGGCACGUUCAGACUGCCCCGCGGUGCUGCGCCCCCCUGUCGGCGACGGCGGGGCGGGCACCGCGGGGAGUGCGGUUCUUGUUAUCAGUCUCCGCCGGUCCUCGGUCGCGGCUGGUCGUACAUACCUUCUGACUGGACUGCUGACGGCCAGCGGCGUGGGGACGCCCAGAGCCUUGAUCCUCUGUUGCAUUGUGGGCGAGGGCCGGGCUCCGCCGUUGGAGCCCGUAUCGUAUCUCACCGGCUCCAUUACGACUCGGUAGCCGGAUGUCGUGGUGCCACCGUGGCUGGAAUACCAUAUAGCAUCGUGUGAAUAUUUGAUUUAGAAUUUGUAAAAGUAUGAUCUUAUUAUAUCUUAAUAUCCGA